rnacentral:sRNA from 1 species
AAGUUUUCUGCUCCACUGGAUAUCAGGCUAAUUUCCAGCUUCUAGACCUUUGCUGGUCCUCUGGUUUUGUACCCCUAUUUCUCGGUGAUGGCACUUUGGCCAGGCGAGUAAGGGGAAGUGGUUUGGAGCUGUCUCACCAUCAAUGGGUGCAAUCCAGGUCACCAUCCCCUCCUACCUGGACAUACAGGCACUGAUAUUACAGGCUUAGGAAGUCUGCCCAUUAAAACAGUGACAAUGAGACAAAUAUACAGUAUAAGAAAAAAGCAAAUUCCCGCUGAGAAUCAAAAUAAUGAGUGUGGUCCUUGCAGAGACUAAAACGGGCACAAGCAAGCCCUUUCUGUUCAAGUGCAGGCAGCUCUUAACCAUCCUUGGGAUGAACAAAGUGAUAAAGUUCCUUGCCACGGAGAUUUCCCAAGGAAAGAAGAGGCAGCAUUUCCUCAUCACAUAUGCCUAUCAGGGCAGGGUCCUCAGGAGAGGUCUGUAUUUUAACUCAGUUUCUGACGUUGCUGUGGCUAUGCCAAGUGGACAGCUCUACUUCCAGUCCUCCAGAGACUACACUUCCCACGUGAAGCCAUUUGCAUCAUUCACAGCCAGUGAGUGUUUCCUUGCUCUGAAGAAGGGUGUGGUUUCUGCCAAAAUUCAAGGUGAGCUACACAGAGUUGAAGUCCUAACGUGCCAGAACAUUACCACCAAAACCAUAGUCCAGCUUCCUCUGUUUGCAGAAGGAGACUUCCGGGAACUGGUUGAUGAUGCUGGGCCAGGGCUCCUGCAGGAGCUGUGUGAAGUCAGAAGGCUCCUGUGCCAUGUCAGAGUGACCAGUCUGGAUCCCUCCAUGGCCAGAGACCCCCUGUAUGGGACUGAGGAUCUGUGGGUUGAAAAUGUCAUCGUUGAACAAUGCCUUUUAGCCACAGAUGAGACUUUGCCAGAAGACGUAUAUACAGAUUUCUCAGAAGAUGUAUACUUGAGCUUGUCAGAAGACACAUUUGAAAUCCCAGUUGAGAAAAUGAGCUCAGAGGUGUUGGUAGUUGAAAAGCACUCAUGGAUGAGAGAUGCCAGGAAGGAGCCCAGCUUGGCUCUCCAUGACAUAGAAGAGAUAACUGAGGCAGAGUCCCUGACCUCUAGUAAUUAUAUGAUUGUUCCCCAACCACCACCAUGCCCUCCAAAGCGCAGAAGUUUGUCUUACAA